GUUUGAUUCUCAUCCCAUCUCACUGCACCGCGCGAACGCCCCCCCUCCCCUGCCACCGCCGUUGCUACGCCUCUCUCCGGACUCUACUCCGCCCUGAAACCUCCGUACACCCUUCAAGUCUUCAUUUUUAAGGAGUAAGGUAUUCUUUUACCAACUCAUCAUGGAUAUUGAUUUCGAUGGUCUGAUUUCUAGUGACGCUGCAAAUACUGGUCGGAGAUAAAGUUUCCUUCAAAAGCAUUCUAAACUCUACCGAGACUGUAGCAAGAGGAAGGGUCCAGAGCUUGGACCUAAAUGAUCUAGUUGGUGGUACAGAGAUUGAACCAGAAUGGUGUGAGGUAAACGUUCAAGUACCAAUAAAAAAAGAUGAAACUUGGUAAGACAAUAUGGUUUAUUUUCUACAAUUCAAGAUUGUAUUGAUGCAUCCAUGCCUGGCCCUAUCCAUUCAUCUCGGUAGUCCAUGAGGAUUGAGGACACAUGAUAACUCAAGAUUUUAUGCUUCUUAUUUCUUUAAUUGCUUUUAAUUUCUUUGUUAAAUGUUAAGACUU
rnacentral:lncRNA from 1 species